rnacentral:rRNA from 1 species
UGACGGUACCCAACGAAGAAGCCCCGGCUAAACUCCGUGCCAGCAGCCGCGGUAAGACGGAGGGGGCAAGCGUUGUCCGGACUCACUGGGCGUAAAGGGUGCGUAGGCGGUACGGUGCGUCGGCACUGAAAGCUCGCGGGUCAACUGGGAGAGGUGUGUCGAUACGACCGAACUCGAGGCAAGAAGAGGUGCGCGGAAUUCCGGGUGUAGUGGUGAAAUGCGUAGAUAUCCGGAGGAAUGCCGGUGGCGAAGGCGGCGCACUGGUCUUGACCUGACGCUGAGGCACGAAGGCGUGGGGAGCGAACCGGAUUAGAUACCCGGGUAGUCCACGCAGUAAACGCUGUUGGCUCGGUGUGUGGUGCUGGAAACAGGACCGCGUGCCCAAGUUCACACGGUAAGCCAACCGCCUGGGGAAUACGAGCGCAAGCUUAAAACUCAAAGGAAUUGACGGAGGCCCGCACCAGCGGUGGAACAUGUGGUUUAAUUCGAUGCAACGCGAAGAACCUUACCUGGGCUUGACAUAUAUAUGGCGUAUGUAAGAAAUUAUGUAUUCUGUCUGUUUUUUCAGAUAGCAUAUAUACAGGUGAUGCAUGGCUGUCGUCAGCUCGUGUCGUGAGAUGUAGGGUUAAGUCCCUUAACGAGCGCAACCCUUGCUUUUAGUUGCCAUCAGGUAAUGCUGGGGACUCUAGAAGGACUGCCGAGGUUAACUCGGAGGAAGGUGGGGAUGACGUCAAGUCAGUAUGUCCCUUAUGUCCAGGGCUACACACGUGUUACAAUGGUCGGUACAGAGUGACGCUAAUCCACGAGGUGGCGCCAAUCACUUAAAGCCGAUCCCAGUUCGGAUUGGAGUCUGCAAUUCGACUCCAUGAAGUUGGAAUCGCUAGUAAUCGCAGAACAGCAUGCUGCGGUGAUACGUUCCCGGGCNUUGUACACACCGCCCGUCACGCCAUGGAAGUUGGGAGUACCCGAGCUUGCUGUCC